UCUAACAUUCAACAGUGGCUAGGAUUUGCCGCUCUCAAUGAGUAAGCUCGCUUUCAAGCGCCGGCAAGGCCCGGGUUCGAUUCCCGGUGUCGGAA